UACGGUAUCAUUGGAGUACACAUGCGUGUCCACUGGGACCAGUGUGUCGGGGCAACCCGCUGAACCCCCUUCACGCCGGGGAUGGGAGUUUGAAAUUAUUCAUCCGUGAACCAGGAAUGCCCAGUAAGCGCAAGUCAUAAGCUUGCGUUGAUUACGUCCCUGCCCUUUGUACACACCGCAACA
rnacentral:rRNA from 1 species